ACGUAGGGGGCAAGCGUUAUCCGGAUUUAUUGGGCGUAAAGAGUCCGUAGGUGGUUUUUUAAGCGAGAGGUGAAAGGCUAUAGCUUAACGAUUGAACGGCUUGCGAACUGGAAGUCUUGAGUGCAGUAGAGGUAAGUGGAAUUCCUAGUGUAGCGGUGAAAUGCAUAGAUAUUAGGAAGAACACCAGUGGCGAAGGCGAGUUACUGUACUAUAACUGACGCUGAGGCACGAAAGCGUGGGGAGCAAACAG
rnacentral:rRNA from 1 species